AACCAGAAAUUAAAAAAUAAAAUCAAAGCACACAAUUUUCCUUACUCGGUUUACACUAAACCAAAUCUAAAAGAAAUCUAAACCUAAAAAAAAAGUCGAGCCGCCUCCUUCAUGAGCCUUGCGCCUCUUCCAACCUUGACCGGAGACAUUGUCAUCUCUGCUUCCGGCGUCAGUGUCUCCUCCACUGCAGCUUCCGUGCCUCCUCCCACUUCCCGUCAACCAUCUUUUGACUUUCCACCUUACUCAAGCUUUGUCUGCCAAAUUAGCCUUCCUUAACCUUCGUUUGUCUUCUCAUCCUUCCUCAAUCUUGUGAAUACUUCUUUACGUUUGUUUGAGACCUCUGUUCGUCAUCUCCAGUCUCACAUCUCCAUUCCGAUAGCAUUUUUUGAACGCUAAGAAAUGUACAGAUACGAUAGCAAUGUUUGAAUGAUAUUAUUUAAAUUAACUAUAGCACUACUUUCGUACUAUGAUAGGUCAUUAUACAAUAAAUAAAUAAAAAAUUAUAACUAAAAUUAAAAAAAUAAAUAAAAAUUAAAUGAAAAUUGUUUUAUAAUUUAAAAUAAAAUAAAUUUUAUUUAUAAAUUAAAAUUGGUUUACAAAUACAUUCCGGUUUACAAUACUAAACCAGAAAUUAAAAAAUAAAAUCAAAGCACACAAUUUUCCUUACUCGGUUUACACUAAACCAAAUCUAAAAGAAAUCUAAACCUAAAAAAAAAGUCGAGCCGCCUCCUUCAUGAGCCUUGCGCCUCUUCCAACCUUGACCGGAGACGUUGUCGUCUCUGCUUCCGGCGUCAGUGUCUCCUCCACUGCAGCUUCCGUGCCUCCUCCCACUUCCCGUCAACCAUCUUUUGACUCUCCACCUUACUCAAGCUUCGUCUGCCUAAUUAGCCUUCCUCAACCUUCGUUUGUCUUCUCAUCCUUCCUCAAUCUUGUGAAUACUUCUUUACGUUUGUUUGAGACCUCUGUUCGUCAUCUCCAGUCUCACAUCUCCAUUCACGAAUCUAGAUCUGAAAAAAAAAAUGUGAAACAAAAAUCUUUGAGAUUAGAAGAUAAAAGAGAGUAAUGGGGGUAGAGGAAGAAUCGCUUUUGAUUGAGGCAGAAGCAGUGGUGGUAGUGGAGAAGAUGGUCGCUUGUGGUUGAGUAACGAGGAGGAGGAGGAGGAUGCGAUUGUGGUCCGCGAAGGUGGGGAACAAGGAGGAGGAGGCGGCGGAUGUGAUGGUGGCGUCGGGCGGAGGUGAUGGUGGGUGAGGUAUAAGUAGUGGUAGACGAGGUGACUGUGAUGAUGGUUUGUGUUUGUAGAAUGAGGAUUGCUAUGGUGAAGAAAGAAGAAGAGUAGAAAGAUGAAAUAAAAUAUCAGAAGAGAUGAGAAGAGAGGAACGUGAGAG
rnacentral:lncRNA from 1 species